GCUAGUGUAGCUUAAUUUAAAGCAUGGCACUGAAGAUGCUAAGAUGAAAAAUAAAAAUUUUUCCACGAGCA
rnacentral:tRNA from 1 species